ensembl:antisense Gm15351 predicted gene 15351
GCAGAGUCCACAGCAGCCCAGAGCGCGCUCUCCACGAGGUCUCAUGCCCAGUACCCAACGCGUAUGCGUUGGUAGCUGCACAGACACACCUAUAUGUACCGUAAGACCACAGCUUCCAACAAUAUCCACCCGCACUGAACAAUCCAACUACAGACGUGUGUACCAGGAUGCCGUUGCAACAGUGUCUAUGUUGGGCUCAGCACUGAACUAAGGGUCAAGACACAAAAUGUCAGAUGUCCCAGGAUUUGUCCUCAGAACUCCUGGCCUGG